UAGGUUCAAAGCUAACUAUUGAAGGUAUGAGGAAUAAUAGAUCACUUCCAUCGGAUAACUCAUAACCCAAAUUUUGUGUUCAUAUCUUGACGAAUGGUUUAUAUUUGAGAUUGAUCUCCAUUCUAGUUAUGAGCAGGUUUUUCUUGUACUAAUAAAUUUAUCUUGCUCCUAUAUCUUAGAAUGGGUUUCCAAUCAAGAAAUACAAAAUUAAAACUUGUAGGAUUGUUUUGAUGUGAUACCUUUUAAUAAUUGUUAGAAUCCCUUAAUUAGUGUA
rnacentral:misc_RNA from 1 species